UACGUAGGGUGCAAGCGUUAAUCGGAAUUACUGGGCGUAAAGCGUGCGCAGGCGGUUAUGUAAGACAGAUGUGAAAUGCCCGGGCUUAACCUGGGAACUGCAUUUGUGACUGCAUGGCUAGGAGUGUGUCGAGAGGGGGGUAGAAUUCCACGUGUAGCAGUGAAAUGCGUAGAUAUGGUGGACGGAAUACCGAUGGCGAAGGCAGCCCCUGGGAUAACACUGACGCU
rnacentral:rRNA from 1 species